AAUAAGCGGAGGAAAAGAAACCAACAGGGAUUGCCCCAGUAACGGCGAGUGAAGCGGCAACAGCUCAAAUUUGAAAUCUGGCCCCCAGGGCCCGAGUUGUAAUUUGCAGAGGAUGCUUUUGGCGCGGUGCCUUCCGAGUUCCCUGGAACGGGACGCCAUAGAGGGUGAGAGCCCCGUCUGGUCGGACGCCUAGCCUAUGUAAAGCUCCUUCGACGAGUCGAGUAGUUUGGGAAUGCUGCUCUAAAUGGGAGGUAUAUGUCUUCUAAAGCUAAAUAUUGGCCAGAGACCGAUAGCGCACAAGUAGAGUGAUCGAAAGAUGAAAAGCACUUUGAAAAGAGGGUUAAAUAGUACGUGAAAUUGUUGAAAGGGAAGCGCUUAUGACCAGACUUGGGCCCGGUGGAUCAUCCAGCGUUCUCGCUGGUGCACUCCGCCGGGUUCAGGCCAGCAUCAGUUCGCCGCGGGGGAAAAAGGCUUCGGGAACGUGGCUCCUACGGGAGUGUUAUAGCCCGUUGCAUAAUACCCUGGGGCGGACUGAGGUUCGCGCUCC
rnacentral:rRNA from 1 species